rnacentral:rRNA from 1 species
GUUGGGAAUCUUGGACAAUGGGGGAAACCCUGAUCCAGCCAUGCCGCGUGAGUGAUGAAGGCCUUCGGGUUGUAAAACUCUUUCGACGGGGACGAUAAUGACGGUACCCGUAGAAGAAGCUCCGGCUAACUUCGUGCCAGCAGCCGCGGUAAUACGAAGGGGGCUAGCGUUGUUCGGAAUUACUGGGCGUAAAGCGCGCGCAGGCGGCUAUCCAAGUCAGUGGUGAAAGCCCGGAGCUCAACUCCGGAACUGCCAUUGAAACUGUUUAGCUUGAGGACGAGAGAGGUGAGUGGAAUUCCCAGUGUAGAGGUGAAAUUCGUAGAUAUUGGGAAGAACACCGGUGGCGAAGGCGGCUCACUGGCUCGUAUCUGACGCUCAGGCGCGAUAGCGUGGGGAUCAAACAGGAUUAGAAACCCUAGUAGUCC